rnacentral:rRNA from 1 species
UGGUACUUGUACCGACUGGAUGAGCAGCGAACGGGUGAGUAACGCGUGGGGAAUCUGCCUUUGAGCGGGGGACAACAUUUGGAAACGAAUGCUAAUACCGCAUAAAAACUUUAAACACAAGUUUUAAGUUUGAAAGAUGCAAUUGCAUCACUCAAAGAUGAUCCCGCGUUGUAUUAGCUAGUUGGUGAGGUAAAGGCUCACCAAGGCGAUGAUACAUAGCCGACCUGAGAGGGUGAUCGGCCACAUUGGGACUGAGACACGGCCCAAACUCCUACGGGAGGCAGCAGUAGGGAAUCUUCGGCAAUGGACGAAAGUCUGACCGAGCAACGCCGCGUGAGUGAAGAAGGUUUUCGGAUCGUAAAACUCUGUUGGUAGAGAAGAACGUUGGUGAGAGUGGAAAGCUCAUCAAGUGACGGUAACUACCCAGAAAGGGACGGCUAACUACGUGCCAGCAGCCGCGGUAAUACGUAGGUCCCGAGCGUUGUCCGGAUUUAUUGGGCGUAAAGCGAGCGCAGGUGGUUUAUUAAGUCUGGUGUAAAAGGCAGUGGCUCAACCAUUGUAUGCAUUGGAAACUGGUAGACUUGAGUGCAGGAGAGGAGAGUG